rnacentral:misc_RNA from 1 species
UGGAGUAGGAGCUGAUGUAGG